rnacentral:rRNA from 1 species
UGCGCAGGCGGUUCGUUAAGUCAGAUGUGAAAGCCCCGGGCUCAACCUGGGAACUGCAUUUGAAACUGGCGGGCUUGAGUAUGGCAGAGGGGGUGGAAUUCCGCGUGUAGCAGUGAAAUGCGUAGAGAUGCGGAGGAACACCGAUGGCGAAGGCAGCCCCCUGGGCCAAUACUGACGCUCAGGCACGAAAGCGUGGGAGCAAACA